GCCAGGAUAGCGCAGCAGGUAGCGCAUCAGUCUCAUAAUGUGAAGGUUGUGAGUUCAAUCCUCACAAGGGGCA